rnacentral:rRNA from 1 species
AUUGAACGCUGGCGGCAGGCCUAACACAUGCAAGUCGAGCGAGAGGCGGACGGGUGAGUAAUGUCUGGGAAACUGCCUGAUGGAGGGGGAUAACUACUGGAAACGGUAGCUAAUACCGCAUACCAUCAGAUGUGCCCAGAUGGGAUUAGCUAGUAGGUGGGGUAACGGCUCACCUAGGCGACGAUCCCUAGCGGGUCUGAGAGGAUGACCAGCAAAACUGGAACUGAGACACGGUCCAGACUCCUACGGUAGGCAGCAGUGGGGAAUAUUGCACAAUGGGCGAAAGCCUGAUACAGCCAUGCCGCGGGUAUGAAGAAGGCCUUCGGGUUGUAAAGUACUUUCAGCGAGGAGGCGUUACUCGCAGAAGAAGCACCGGCUAACUCCGUGCCAGCAGCCGCGGUAAUUC